rfam:Salmo salar isolate Sally breed double haploid chromosome ssa04, whole genome shotgun sequence.
UCCCGUGUGGCUCAGUUGCUAGAGCAUGGCGCUUGCAACCCCAGAAUUGUGGGUUUGAGUCCCACGUGGGAC